UACGUAGGGGGCGAGCGUUGUCCGAAGUUACUGGGCGUAAAGCGCGCGUAGGCGGGGAUCUAAGUGAGAAGUGAAAGGCUGGGGCUCAACCCCAUGCAGUGCUCCUCAUACUGGUUCUCUUGAGUGGGGCAGAGAGAAGUGGAAUGGCUGGUGUAGCGGUGAAAUGCGUAGAUAUCAGUCGGAACACCGGUGGCGAAGGCGGCUUCUUGGGCCCUAACUGACGCUGAUGCGCGAAAGCCAGGGUAGCGAACGGG
rnacentral:rRNA from 1 species